GAUUAGAUAAUCGCUGAAAGCAUCUAAGUGAGAAACUAACCUCGAGAUGAGAUUUCCCAUUCGUCAGAAGUAAGACCCCUGAGAGACGAUCAGGUAGAUAGGCUAGAAGUGGAAGUGUAGUGAUGCAUGGAGCGGACUAGUACUAAUAGGUCGAGGACUUAACCAAG
rnacentral:rRNA from 1 species